rnacentral:rRNA from 1 species
UACAGAGGUGCCGAGCGUUAGGCGGAAUCACUGGGCUUAAAGCGCGUGUAGGCGGGUCGUUAAGUGGCCGCGUGAAAUCCCACGGCUCAACCGUGGAACUGCCGGGCAUACUGGCGACCUUGAGGCACUUAGGGGCGAGCGGAACAAAUGGAGGAGCGGUGAAAUGCGUAGAUAUCAUUUGGAACGCCGACGGUGAAAACAGCUCGCUGGGAGUGCCCUGACGCUGAGACGCGAAAGCCAGGGGAGCGAACGGG